rnacentral:rRNA from 1 species
CAAGUCGAGCGGUAACACAGAGAGCUUGCUCUCGGGUGACGAGCGGCGGACGGGUGAGUAAUGUCUGGGAAACUGCCUGAUGGAGGGGGAUAACUACUGGAAACGGUAGCUAAUACCGCAUAACGUCGCAAGACCAAAGAGGGGGACCUUCGGGCCUCUUGCCAUCAGAUGUGCCCAGAUGGGAUUAGCUAGUAGGUGGGGUAACGGCUCACCUAGGCGACGAUCCCUAGCUGGUCUGAGAGGAUGACCAGCCACACUGGAACUGAGACACGGUCCAGACUCCUACGGGAGGCAGCAGUGGGGAAUAUUGCACAAUGGGCGCAAGCCUGAUGCAGCCAUGCCGCGUGUAUGA